rnacentral:antisense_RNA from 1 species
GUUCGAGCCGCCCUGCAGCGCUGUGGAGACUCCGACCAGCUGGGGCAGGCGGCUCAGGUCGCGGCCAGCCAGGGGUUGGGAAACUAGCUUCCAUGGCCAAACCUAGCCCACCGUCUGUUUUGGUGUCCAUGGAUUGGCUGGGACAGCUCUGCUUAAGGAUGUAGUAGCUCUGCAGGUCGGCUAGUUUCCUGUUCUUCCCAACCUGCGCUAUGGACUUCAUCAGAUUUCAGCAUCAGAGAGAAUAUGGAAGGACAUCGACCCUAACUUCAUCCAGUGAGGAUUUCCACACACCAUACACUCUCUGAGAGUUCUCUUGGCUUUGUGUGCACACCUCCAGUGGCAGGGAGCUCGCUAUGUCAUGAGGCAGCCUGCUCCCUUGUGGCUAUCACUGAACCAACUAUUAAGCCUUCUUUUAUAAACAGUCCCUGACUUACUGUUAGACUUACAACUUUUUGAUUUUACAGUGGUGCAAAAGCAAUAUGCAUUCCAUAGAAACUGUAUUUCAAAUUUUGAAUUUUGAUCUUUUCCAGGCUAGCAACAUAUGAAGACCAACCUUUUAUUUCUAAAAUUGGCUUCGUGUUAGAUGCUUUUGCCCAACUAUAGGUUAAUGUAAAUGUUCUCAGAAUAUUUAAGGAAGGCUAGGCUAAACUGUGAUCUUUGGGAGCUUAGAUAUGUUAAGUGCAUUUUCAACUUACAAUAUUUUCAACUUACGAUGAGUUUAUUGGGAUGAAGCCCGUUGUAAGUAAAGGAGCAUCUGCAUUAAGCUAAAAUCCAUGUCUAUAUCUUCCUCAGUAAUAUCAAGUUUGUUCCUUGGAGCCAGAGAAUAAACUGAAUCCUUUUCCA